ensembl:lncRNA
CCACAUGCCGACGAAGCACGAGGAGGGUCUCCAGGAUGGUCGGAUGCAGAGUGCCUAUAACUUGGGGACGGGGGGGAGCCCCCUUCAGCGCCACCCGCCCACCCAAGAGAGCUACCAGCUUCAGUUUGCCAUCCAGAAACUGCAACAGCAAAGACUUCAGUCCCAACAAUUUCUGGACCAAAGCCGUCAUCACAGACACCAGGCUCAAUUCCCAGACCAGACCGACACUCCUCACGCCCAGCCUCCCAAACCCUCAUCCGGCUGCCCUCCGUCCGGCUUUCAUGUCGGGUCCAAUCCCAGUCACGGCCACAGCCACAUUCAAACCUCUGUCCGUCCUGCUCUCGCCCCGAAGCCACCCAGCAGUGCCCGAGAGGGUCGGAUCAGGAAAACGGCAACAAAGCGCCUCAUCAAGCAGGCGUCCGCAGAGAGUUCAUCCAGUGGCCAGCAUGUGGUCUACGAAGCCAUCUGUGGUAAAACAGGUCUUUCUGCGUACGGCGAUCUGUUCCAGGGCCAGGAGCCUGGCCACAGAUGACAUGAAAGCGACCAGCGGCCCGUCCCGCCCCUCUGCUGGCCUGACAGGUGUCUCUGCAUGUAACCGCGUCCUCGCAGAGGUGUAUUUUGGGAAAGGACAAAAGCAACAGAUGGAAGCAUCACUAGACUAUCUAACAGGGUCCUAUCGAAUGUCCCAACGAUGCAGCCACUUGCAGGAGGACAGUCUUCCAGGCCAGGAACCCCCCCCGGCUGUGAUGCAGGUUGGGGUUUUAUUUGCUCAGCUCAACAUUGGUUUUGCCUUUUCAGCUCCUCCUCGACCUCCCCUCGCUCCCUCUGGCUACUCUCACACGUCCCUGCAGUUGUCCGCCCUCAUUCUCUCCAUGCCACCGAUACCGCCGGAGAUUUCACUGACAGAUAGCCUUCAGCAGCUGGUUCGUCAAUGCCCCGGUUGGCAUUUGAUUCAACCUUUAGGUGUUUGCUCAUGCAGCAGCAUGUGCGCAGCCAGCCGCUCGGGGAGAUUUUAUCUUCCUGAAAAGUUCAACAAACAGACAAGCACGCAAGAGAAGCUUCUAUGA